UGCCGUUGUUCUUAUUGCGUCUUUACCUGCGUAACUGUUGCAUUUAGUUGAAUUGUGCGAACUGAACUGAACAGAACAGAACGUAUUGUGCAUGUCUAUUAAUAUUGAACUUCGCUAAUAUUGGAUUAAUUACAUUUGGAACCAGCACAAAAGAUAAAAGUCCUUACGGAACUGACAUCUAAUCUAUAGCUUCACGGAGUUUCUUUGAAGCUUUUAGCACGCAACGAGCGCAUACACGAUCAAUGCUGAUGGUUCGUAGAUGACCCACAUAUCUUCGAUCAUGCCAUAUCAGAGAUAUAGUCCUGGCGAACCUAAAUACCCGAAUUUUUGUAAAAUAAGCAAAAAUUUGGCCGAGAAAUAUGUAUGAUUUUACUUUCAGCCGGCCUUAACAGCCUUCACUGGUUCCUAGUUGGCGUAAAUAUCCUUGAUUAUACCAUAUCAUAGAUAUUGUCCUGGUGAACCUAAAUCAGUAUAUAUUCGCCCAAUAUGCAUGGAAAUGGUCCAGAAAUAUACUGACGUGAAGUGACCACAUCUCAGGUAAUUUAAUCCCGAAUUGCAGGAGAUCAGGAAAAGGAACUUUUGACACAGGAUUCACAGAUUCACACAGGAUUGUUUAGACCAAGACCAAAGAACAUCAUUAUCGCCCUUGCAGUUUCUAAGAUAUGAAGAAGGAUAUGAAAUGUGCAAGGAUAUGGCCGAUUUAUAGCCAUUUUUAUAAAAAGGACAUUCGUUUUGCCAUAACCAUGCCAAGAAUAUCGGAAGGAUACAACUUUUUGAGUGUGUGAAAUGAAUUGUAUGGACCAGGUCUAUCAUCUGACAAAAGGGCAUCGAAUUCGUCCUUGUAGUUUCUAAGAUAUGGAGGAUUUUGUGUAUUUUGCCAGUUUUCCUUGCCCGAAAAUUUUUACAAGUACAGGAUUCUUAGAUGACCCCAUAAUUUUUUGAUGCAGAUCGAUGCAAUUGGUCCUUACGAUCAUAAAGCACCAUGUCCUGCAAAAAUGUGCAAGGAUAUGGCCGAGUUAUGGCCAUUUUUCUAAAAAGGACAUUCGUUUUUUGGCCAUAGCCCUGCCAAAUCCUGAAGGAUAUCGGAAGGAUAUACCUUUUUGAGCUCGUAGGAAGCAGGACUAUCGAUUCGCAUUCAAGGAUUUCCAGGAUUCAAUCAAAAAUUUACCUAAAAAAUUUUCCUAGGGGGUUGCUCACAAAAUCGGCAAAAAUCAAUAAAAUCAGGGCUAACUUGGCCAUUUUAAGGACUAUCAUGAUGUCCUUUGCACAGUAGAUAGUCCUCGUCCCCCCAAUUACGAAUUAGCAAUAAAAAGGACGAAAAUCCUUCAAACGGCGGAGCAAAAAUGCCAAAUUUACAAACACAAAAUAGCCUAUAACUCAGCUAUAUCCUUGCGUAUCCUGACGAGUCCUGUGUCAAAUGAAUUGUAUGGACCAGGUCUAUCAUCUGGCAAAAGGGCAUCGAAAUCGUCCUUGUAGUUUCUAAGAUAUGAAGGAUUUUGUGUAUUUGGCCUGUUUUCCUUGCAAAUUGAGGCCGAAAAUUUUUACAAGUACAGGAUUCUUAGAUGACCCCAUAAUUUUUUGAUGCAGAUCGAUGCAAUUGGUCCUUACGAUCAUAAAGCACCAUGUCCUGCAAAAAUGUGCAAGGAUAUGGCCGAGUUAUGGCCAUUUUUCUAAAAAGGACAUUUGUUUUUUGGCCAUAGCCCUGCCAAAUCCUGAAGGAUAUCGGAAGGAUAUACCUUUUUGAGCUCGUAGGAAGCAGGACUAUCGAUUCGCAUUCAAGGAUUUCCAGGAUUCAAUCAAAAAUUUACCUAAAAAAUUUUCCUAGGGGGUUGCUCACAAAAUCGGCAAAAAUCAAUAAAAUCAGGGCUAACUUGGCCAUUUUAAGGACUAUCAUGAUGUCCUUUGCACAGUAGAUAGUCCUCGUCCCCCCAAUUACGAAUUAGCAAUAAAAAGGACGAAAAUCCUUCAAACGGCGGAGCAAAAAUGCCAAAUUUACAAACACAAAAUAGCCUAUAACUCAGCUAUAUCCUUGCGUAUCCUGACGAGUCCUGUGUCAAAUGAAUUGUAUGGACCAGGUCUAUCAUCUGGCCAAAGGGCAUCGAAAUCGUCCUUGUAGUUUCUAAGAUAUGAAGGAUUUUUUGUAUUUGGCCUGUUUUCCUUGCAAAUUGAGGCCGAAAAUUUUUACAAGUACAGGAUUCUUAGAUGACCCCAUAAUUUUUUGAUGCAGAUCGAUGCAAUUGGUCCUUACGAUCAUAAAGCACCAUGUCCUGCCAAAAUGUGCAAGGAUAUGGCCGAGUUUUGGUCAUUUUUCUAAAAAGAAUAUUGGUUUUUUUGUCAUAAUUCUGCACUGGGGAGCAGGACUAUCGAUUAGCAUUCAAGGAUUCGACCGGAAUGGGAAAACAGACCGAAAACACAAAUAUGUUAAUUCUAAUAUAAUGCCUUACCGUAUUUUUAAUGUUUCUAUAAAGUAUAAUUAUUUAAUACCUGCGCAAUUCCCACAUUGUUGCUUCAUUUAUGGCUUGAGCAACUUUCAAGACGCAAUUUGGUUAAUUAGAAUUAGUUAUUACAUUUUCUCAUAGUUGUUGCAGCUGCAGUUGUUGACGUUAAACAAACGAUAGAAAUUAUUCUCAUUUCUAUAGCUGUUCCAAUUGUUUUCAUUUAAUAUAACGCCCACAAGCGUUUGAAGGAAUUACGGGUUAUUUUGCAUAUACAAUUUUAAUAUUUCUGAGACAUUUAUUAGACACAAAUAGAAUGUAGUUAUAGUAUAAUAUACUCUAUAUGCUCGUAUGCUAUAUAAGCGAUAUAAUUGUAAUAACUAAAAUGUACACGCUAAACGACUAAGACAAUGCAUUGCGAGAGCUUGAGCGAAAGUGAGAGGGAACUAGUUAGUUUAUCUCGGUCUCCUGCUCUCUCUUUCGCUCCGCUUAGCUCUGUGCAACUAAAGACUAACGAGAGAAUAGGUAAUUGUAAUUGUAAUUAAAUUGCAUUAAUUAUAAACAAUUACGAAUACAGUUUCACGAAAUACAAUGCACAACAUACGAAACAACAUUUAAAUUAUGAGGAGAAAUUAAUAAAUUCAUUUCAACUAUUUGAAUAUAACAUUAAAUAUGCAUAGUUUAUGUUGUUGUUAUUGUUGUUGUGGCUGUUGUAGGUGCAGCUGUUGCAUAACUUCUUCUAGUUAAAUAAUGUACGAGAUAUAUAUAUAUAUAUAUAUGUAAUAUUGCUUAUCUAUAUAAUAUACUUAUAUGCAUAUUGUAUAUGUAUAUGUAUUUGUUCAUAUAUGUGUGUAUUUUGAUAUUGCUGCGGGCGUCUUCGUCUGCUCCCUUCGCCGCUGUCUUUGCUGCUGCUUCUUCUUCUGCCUCUCUUGUUGCAGCCUUUGCAAGACGAGCUUUAAGCUAUAUUUAUGUUUUUUUUUUUUGUUUAAGCUUAGUUACAACAUUCGUUAAUUUUGUAAAAUUUAAAUGUGACUCAAACUGGAAGCGACAGCAAAAUGAUAAAUGGCUUUUGUUUUAAUUGUUUAUGUUUUGUUUUUUCCUUCUUUGCCACAUCGCAUCGUUUAAAAAUAUUAACUAAA
rnacentral:sRNA from 1 species